rnacentral:lncRNA from 1 species
GAUCAUUGUGCAAACAACUGCUGGGAUCGAGCUGAUGGUACUACCCUUUGUUCCUGUCCAGUCUAGGGGCAUUGAUCGUUCAUUGCUUCUUCAUCCAAUCAAAGUAGAGGUGCAAGUCUACAAGAAUUUUCCUUAUUACUGGUUUUAGUCUAAAGGCUUUCCCUUCUAUCUUGUAAAUUCUCAUUACCAACUUUAGACUAUUGACUUUCUAUCUUGUUAAUUAAAUGUUCUGUUAGCCUUGGUCAAAGGUGACUUUAUUUGCAUUCCAAUUGUUUUCGUUCCGGAAAUAUAAUCUGGAAAGGGGUGUUAAUUCAUAGAGGUAACUGCAAAGAAUGUCUGGAGAUCUGAAGCACUGAUGAUAACAGGAUUUGACUCCCCUCGGGUACAACUUCUACUCGAUUCAUUAUAUAGAUAGAUGGGGUGAUUAUGAAUUCAUUGGAGAAGAUCUGAAGCACUGCCGGUAACUGGCUUUGACUCCCUUUAAUACCCAUCUUCAACUCAAGUUUUAACUCAAAUACAUUGAGUGAAUGGUUUAUUCAAAGGAAGUCAAUCUAGUUUUAGCUCCCUUCGUUCCACAGAAAUGGAUUAAUUUGCUGACUUUAUUUUUAACUUCCAAAAAGAGACUCUGUUCUUUAAACGGUAGCGGGGUUAAUUGAUGGUUUAGUUUGAUCACUGUACUAGUGGUUGAUUUUUAUUGUAGUUAUCGUUUUUUUUGUUAUACACAUUAAAUAUGCUAAAAAAAGGCUACAAAAUGAUCAUUACUGAGCAUUCAUUUCAUCUAAAAAAGUGAAUGG